CAACAAUUUAUCAUUGCAGUAAUUUAUGCGUCCUUCACUGAUCCAUCACAAACAACAAAAGCACUUUGUGGAUGGGACGCUCCGAUUUCUACUUUUUGCUGCUGCAGAAAGCUGCUCGACCGGAAUCUUCACAUUCCCGGUGCCUCUUCUCUGGAGGUUGUUUUUCUUUCUGUUUCCUGGGGAAGCGACGAGCCGCCUGUCACCAUUUUAGAUCCACUCUGGACAAAGCCAGCCCUUAAAACAACGCUUAAUCGAGGAAGAUGAGGGGCUUUUUGAUCCUCGUGCUCGUGACAGCAAAGCUAAAAAACACUCUGACUGUUGUGCGUGUGUUCCAGUUUCCCAGCAUGCCUUGGCUGCAAAAGUGGAAGUGUAUGAGGGGGCGGAGUCUGUGCUUCUGCCCUGCCGGGUAGGUUUUUUACUGGAGGACACCACAGUGACAUGGAGCCGCCCUGACCUCGAUCCCAGCACCAUCCACAGGUGGCACGAAGACCGAGACGAGCCGGAAGGUCAGAACAUGCGUUACCGUGGGCGCACGGCAAUGAGGGCAAACGAGGCGGACCCCAAAGACCUGAGCCUCACUCUGAGCAAACCCGAGCUGUCUGACACCGGAAGUUACGACUGCAUCAUCAGCAAGCAGAAAGACGUGCUAAAGCUGACCGACAUAGAGCUCCAGGUCAAAGUUGGCAUGUUGGAGGUGGAGGUGACAGAAGGGUCCGAGUUCAUCCAACUGCCCUGCCAAACGACAUCUCUGCUGCCUGCCGACACCACCGUGGAGUGGAGCCGCUCCGAGCCCAUCCCCAUGAUUGUCCACGUGUUCCCGAACAGCAGUGCAGAGCUGCCGAAGAAACAGGACGAGUUCUUCUGUGGACGCACGCGCAUGCAUGAGGACUCGCUGAAAACGGGAGACCUGAGUCUGACCCUGAAGUACCCCUCAGAGCGAGACAACGGUCACUACGUCUGCACCAUCAACACGGGCACGGACAUGCUGAAGCAGAAAGUAGCCCUGCAGCACGUCAAAAAACCGUUUCCCACCUGGGCCACGGCUUUCCUGAGCAUCAUGGCCAUCAGUCUGGUUGCUGGCGGAGGUUUUGUGGCAUAUUUCUGGUAUUAUUUUAAGAUGGUCUCCACCAUGGAGGUGGAUGAAGGGGGGGAGUCUGUUCAGCUGCAAUUUAAAACCACGCCUAACCUGCCAGUCGGUGCUACAGUGGCGUGGAGGCGCUCCAGGCUUGGCUUCAAACCAAUCACAGUUUAUGAGUACUCGAACGGCGAAAGCAAACCAGGUGUGAAAUACACGGACCGUACAGAGAUGGUCGAGGACCCACUGACAUCAGGAGAUCUCAGUCUGACCCUGAGGCGACCGCGAAGACGAGACAGCGGGAUCUACAUCUGCACCCUCUGCAGGGGCAAAGUCGUCCUGGGUGAGAAACGACUGAGGCUGGAGGUCAAAGUCCCUCAGGUGAAGGUGUCAGAGGGGGUCGAUGCUGUGCUGCCCUGGAGAACCUGGAUUCCUCCAACAGAAAAAGCCACUGUGGAGUGGAGCCGUCAUGAGCCGUGGCCCAUGAUUGUCCAUGUCUAUCAGAGCGGCUCAAGCUGUCUGGAGAAGCAGACCUGGUUGUACCGUGGCCGCACAAAGAUGGAGGACGAAGACCCUCGUAAGAACAGAAACCUCAGUCUGGUCCUGCACGAGCCCACGGUGCUGGACAGUGGCGAGUAUACGUGCACCAUCAAAGAGGAAGAGCGAGUCGUGAGGACGAAGAGUCUGAGGCUCCACGUCAGAGAUUUCAAUCACAUCUCUGAUGAUGAAGAAAAUGAAGAAAAUACUCCUUUGAUCAGAUACCGUGGCCCCCAGUCUGUCUAAUCUCUGGCUCCCCCUCAGGUCCUCUCGGUGAACUGUGCUCAGUAUCAAUCAGUGAGCCGUGGCCCAGAUUUUAAAAGUCCAAACAAAGGAAAGGAGGAAAUAAGACAACGGGAUUCAAAGGUUUUUAAACGUCAUCCAUUUUUAAAGUAUUUCAGACAACAGAACAUGUACUGUUUGUUUCUCAGGAUCCACAUGAUAAAAAGUGUUUAGCUGACAUUAACACUGUGGUGGGCGUUGGUUUGUGGGGCGUCCGCAGGGGAGACCGACGCACCGGAGCUCCAUCAUGCGUAAGAAGAAUUAACUGGAUCCUGAGUUGUUGUUGUUCUGUGCGUGCUGCUAAAAGCUGCAGCCCAGGGGUGUUGUAGCAGCAACCGGGAAAUAGAGUGUGUCAAAAGUGUGAAAUAUGUGGUCGGGUCUGUGCUUACCGCCACAAACACCUGUAGGACACCAGAUUUAUAACAUUAAAAAAAAAGACAGUUUGAAAAUUAUUCCUUUUGGCCCAACAACCAAACCCAGUUAGGGAGAUUGUCACAGUCUGUGGAAGCAGACUGUGACAAUCUCCCUAACUUCUGAAUGUGGGAGUGAGAAGGAGCACCCAGGUGCAGACACGCCAGGAGACGGAGCUGAGUUUACACAAAAGGCGAGCUGAAAAACCAUGAAUACAAAAACAAAGCAGCGGGAGAGAACUACAACUACAAGCUAAACUGUGACGACUAUGACAAAGUGACAUGAACAUGAUUCUGAACAGGUGCAUGCGAGGAAACACGAACAUGGAACACGAACACGGAACAUGCCCUGAACAGAAUCAUGAAAGACUUUAAAUUCCCACUAGAGCUGCUCAUUUCAGGGGAUACUCCCUCUUGUGGUGUAACGGAGGAAUAACUACCCUUACAGCACUGUGUCUUAUCUUAUUGGAAAUUGGGGCACACAUUAUUAUACAACAACCAAAGAAAAUAACAUAUUUGAACAAUCAGAACAUUUUAACCAAAUAUAAUAUUGUAACUAAAGAUUAUGGGGGAUGUCUUGUUUUUGUCCAUAAUGCGUCUCUUGUCCUUACAAAUACUAGAACUUAACAUCCUUUCAAUGUAACAUAAGAAAACAAAAAUACAAAAACUAAACUCAGAGUGCUGGGUCGCAGCCCCUGACAGAGGUGAUAAAACCAGAAGCUAUUUCAGAGGGACAUCACUGAAAGAUUGUCGAUGUUGAUUCAUCUCUGCAGCGCUCUCUCAGCUUGACUUGUUAAAGAGAUACCUGCAACCUUAUUCACAGCUCUGCUGCAGGUUAAACAUAAGGCCAUAUAAAGCCAUCAGCACCUCAAUCUGAGGUGUGUCCUCCAUCCUGUGACCAGGAUCAGCCUCAGAGCUCCAUGUGGAAGGAGGUCUCAGCAGGAGCUCCAAUGGAGGAUCCACAAACGACACAGAGAAUGAAGGAUUUUUGUUGAGCUCAUUGACUUAUUCUCAGUCAGACUCGUGUUUGAGAUGUUCACGAUUCCUUGAAGUCAUCACAGGACUAAACAUGAGCACAAAAACCUCAACAAUUCUACAUCAACUUUUUAUCAUGUGAUCAGGUUUCAUCAGCUUUAAGACAUAAAAGCAGUCAGAAUGAGCAGCCUGUGUCACUCUGAACUCACCUGUAAAACCAAGUGGGCACAAAGUGAGAGAUUCUGUGUACUGAGAAAAAAUGGAAAUGAAUAAAAGCACUGGAGCCUGUCAGUGUGUGCCUUAACUGUUGCUCUUUGAUUUCUUUAAAUUACAGUUACAUUAUACAAACAAAAACAGAUAACUCAGCGGCAUCAUGUGGGCUGAGGUCCAGAGCCAGCUCACUAUGGUAUCCACUUUGGUCCUUUGAUGGAUUUCAAAGUGAGAUCAUGGAUAUCAGAACAUCCAUGGGGAAGAAAUGUCAAGGGAAAGAAAUCCUGUCAAGGUUCGAGGUGUUUCAGUGUGGUCUACAAAUUGGAAUAAAAGCAUUUAUCCAUGCAGCCUUCAUCCAUCCACCCACCGAUCAUCCUUCCAUCCAUCCAUUCGACUGUUCACCCAUGCAUCAUCCAUCCAUCCUUCAAACUGUCCUUCCGUCCAACAGUCCAUCCAUCUGUCAGACUGUGAAUCCAUCAAACAGUCCAUCUGUCCGUUGAUCCGGUCACUGCCACUCCAGUGGUGCAUGUGGGCAUGUUUAGCAACACUGUUUUGUUUAAACCAUGAGUUGGGAUGUUGUGGGGGAUUCUUAUCGCAAUGUUCCCCAGCCUUAAGCUGCUUGUCACACACUUUCCCUGAUAACGCUACUAAGCUUUCUUAAGGUGGAAGAUUACUGAGGGGAAGAGCGCUUUUGUGGGCCAAAGCAUUUUUCACUUUUCAUCCUAUUGCUUCCUCCCCAUAUGAUGUUUUCUUCAAUGAACUGAAAAAGACUUUUGCUUGUCCAGUGUCUGAGAGCAGUUCUUCCAAGAAAUUAUUGAGCUGUUGUGGCAAUCCAAGCGUAGCUGAGUUUGUAGUUGAUUUUCUUAGUGUGGCCACAGAGAUGGACUUCUCUGUAGGUAUUACAGGUACUGCAGUGCAGUACCUGUAAUACCUACAGCAUGCUCUAGUCGCUCUAAUAGGAUAUAACUUCUCUGAUGGACAGAGUCUCCCACCCCAUGCAUGUAAAUGUUGCUGAACUGCAGAGCUCCUUCAGUGACAGACUGCUGCAUCCUCGAUGCAUGAAGGAGCGUUUCCGCAGGUCCUUCCUCCCUGCAGCUGUCAGGCUGUACAAUCAAAACCGCUCCCAACAAACACAGAGGUUUACAUCAGCGCUGCAACUUGGACUAAUCAACCGAACAACUACCGCUGUUAUAACUUGCACAUUAUUUUUCUCACUUUAUAUAUACUAACUAAUCGGAAGUUACACAUUGACUUUUUAAUGCACAGGUACAAUCACACAAUCUGCACUUUUCUAAUUAUUCUAAAUAUUCUUAACUAUUUAAACAUCUUUCAGUAUCCUGCUCUGUUUGCACACUACAACCUGGGUUUGCCACUUAUCUGUACUUUAAUUGUAAUAACUGUAAUUGGUAACUAUUGUCCAUGAUGUAAAUAUGUAAAAAUUGUGUCUGUUUCUGUUCUGUGUCCUGUGUCCUGUUCUUGUUGUAUAUGUGUCUUUUUGCUGCUGUUAUAACCAAAUUUCCCCUUGUGGGACAAUUAAAGAAUUAUUC
ensembl:lncRNA